rnacentral:rRNA from 1 species
GACGAACGCUGUCGGCGUGCUUAACCCAUGCAAGUCUUACUGAAAGGCCUUGCUUUUGUGCGGUGCAUGCGUGGCGAACGGGUGAGUAAUACGCUAGUAACCUGUCCUUUACUUUGUGAUAACUUCUGGAACCUGGUGCUACUUCCGCUUCGUAGCUCCUGCUGCUUGGUGGUGGUUGUAAAGUUUCGGCGGUUGGGGCUGGACUCGCGGCUUAUCAUCUUGUUGGUGGGGUAGUGUCUUACUAAGUCUUUGACGGGUAGCCGGCCUGAGAGGGUGACCGGCCACAUAGGGACUGAGAUAAGGCCCAGACUCCUACGGGGGGCAGCAGGGGGGAAUAGUCCACAAUGGGCGGAAGCCUGAUGCAGUAACGCCGCGUGUGGGAGGGCGGCCUUCGGGUUGUGAACCGCUUUCGCCUGUGACGAAGCGUGAGUGACGGUAAUGGGUAAAGAAGCACCGGCUAACUACGUG